UCCAGGCAGCAAUGAGUUCUACCUCAA
rnacentral:piRNA from 1 species